CGGGGAACGAUAACGGCGUCGAGCGGCGGACGGGUGAGUAAUGCCUAGGAAAUUGCCCUGAUGUGGGGGAUAACCAUUGGAAACGAUGGCUAAUACCGCAUGAUGCCUACGGGCCAAAGAGGGGGACCUUCGGGCCUCUCGCGUCAGGAUAUGCCUAGGUGGGAUUAGCUAGUUGGUGAGGUAAGGGCUCACCAAGGCGACGAUCCCUAGCUGGUCUGAGAGGAUGAUCAGCCACACUGGAACUGAGACACGGUCCAGACUCCUACGGGAGGCAGCAGUGGGGAAUAUUGCACAAUGGGCGCAAGCCUGAUGCAGCCAUGCCGCGUGUGUGAAGAAGGCCUUCGGGUUGUAAAGCACUUUCAGUCGUGAGGAAGG
rnacentral:rRNA from 1 species